rnacentral:siRNA from 1 species
UCAGAUUGUGGUUUGACCUAUGCU